CACGCCGUAAACGGUGGGUGCUAGGUGUGGGGAACCUUCCACGUUCUCCGUGCCGCAGCUAACGCAUUAAGCACCCCGCCUGGGGAGUACGGCCGCAAGGCUAAAACUCAAAGGAAUUGACGGGGGCCCGCACAAGCGGCGGAGCAUGCGGCUUAAUUCGAUGCAACGCGAAGAACCUUACCUGGGUUUGACAUAUAGGGAAAUCUCAUAGAGAUAUGAGGUCCGCAAGGGUCCUAUACAGGUGG
rnacentral:rRNA from 1 species